UUUACCAGCCCAGCUGUUUCCAAAGACUCUUACUCUACACUCUGUUGCUGCAGAUAUUAUUUUUUAAGAAAGAACGAACCCUCAAUGCCUAGUAUUUCAAGAGAUGCUAACUUCAUCCACCAUGAUAACUGAAUAUCACUGGAAAAUAUGAAGGAGAUGCUGGCUCUAACAAGGAGACUCAAGGUUAGGAAUAGAGCUGCUAGAAAUUUUGCAGAUUUGUUCAGAAAAGAGAUGGAAGUUGCACUCAUCGCCUGGGGAUCUGCAUCAGAAAUUUACUUGUUUUGACAGUUGCAUCUGGUUUGCAUAAUUUCUUUAGCUCUUUAACUGAC